GCGGGUGUAGCUCAGCUGGUUAGAGCGCCGGCCUGUCACGCCGGAGGCCGCGGGUUCAAGUCCCGUCACUCGCGCCA
rnacentral:tRNA from 1 species